GUUAGGGGACAACCCAGAGGACUUGG
rnacentral:piRNA from 1 species